rnacentral:sRNA from 1 species
GCUGGGUAUGGUGGCACAUGCCUGUAAUCCCAGCGGCUCGGGAGGCUGAGGCUGGAGGAUUGCGAGUUCAAAGCCAGCCUCAA